rnacentral:misc_RNA from 1 species
UAGUGACAUGUGCCCAAUUUGCCCAAUUAAUUAACCCAAAAUUAAAAUACCCGUCCAAUGAUCCAUUACCCACACAAAUAUUAACCUAUCUAAAAAAAAAUUUUUUAAAAAAGGAAAAAUGCCUCCUCUCAUAUCUGUGGUUCAUCUCACAAACUAAAAUCUUUCUUCAUCACCAUUGUUAUACAUCUCCAUUUUUUCCUAAUAUAGACUAAAAAUGGCGCGUACUAAGCAAACACAACUCACAAAUCCACUGGUGGUAAGGAAGCAACUGGCUACUACGGCAACAAGAAAAAUUGCUCCGACGAUUGAAGGAGUGAAAAAGUCUCACCAUUUUCGACUAGGAUUUGUGGCUUUAAGAGAAAUUGGGAAGAAGAUAGUUGUUAAUGUUUAACUGUUUUUUCUUUAGAUAUGUUGCUCG